rnacentral:rRNA from 1 species
AUUGAACGCUGGCGGCAUGCCUUACACAUGCAAGUCGAACGGUAACGGGCCUUCGGGUGCCGACGAGUGGCGAACGGGUGCGUAAUACAUCGGAACGUGCCCGAUCGUGGGGGAUAACGAGGCGAAAGCUUUGCUAAUACCGCAUACGAUCUACGGAUGAAAGCAGGGGACCGCAAGGCCUUGCGCGGACGGAGCGGCCGAUGGCAGAUUAGGUAGUUGGUGGGAUAAAAGCUUACCAAGCCGACGAUCUGUAGCUGGUCUGAGAGGAUGAUCAGCCACACUGGGACUGAGACACGGCCCAGACUCCUACGGGAGGCAGCAGUGGGGAAUGUUGGACAAUGGGCGCAAGCCUGAUCCAGCCAUGCCGCGUGCAGGAUGAAGGCCUUCGGGUUGUAAACUGCUUCUGUACGGAACGAAAAGCCUUCUUUUAAUACAGGAGGGUCAUGACGGUACCGUAAGAAUAAGCACCGGCUAACUACGUG